GCGAGAGUGGCGGAAUUGGCAGACGCGCUAGAUUUAGGAUCUAGUGCCCUCCGGGCGUGGGGGUUCAACUCCCCCCUCUCGCA
rnacentral:tRNA from 1 species